UCAUCUGCACUCAGAUCAGUUUGAAAAAGAUAAGUUUCAAAUUUGUUUUUAGAGAAAGAUGUGCUCAGUCUUAAAUUGAAAUAUUUUCAUGUAGGAAUACUUUAACAUUGUUCCAUCUGUCUUAUUGAGCGUGGGAAGGUGGAGAGGAAAUGUUGAUGACUUAUUCAUCAUUGUGUAGAUUCCUGAUGUUGACAAGAACAGAAAAAGAGCUUCAGCAAUUGUUGGUGGUUGUCGAGCUGAUGUUUCGCUGACACGAUGUCAAUAGUACCAACUAGUAUGGCGAAGGGAUAGACAUUCCUCCCGAAAGAUAUCAUUAAUAUAGAGUCGCGAUGUUAUUCAAGAACACGAAUGAGGCGGAUGAACACUUGGUAAAUCUGCCUUAACUAUGCAAAUAAAAUUGCAUCACAUCUGGAAUUUAGCUUUGUAUAGACCCGAAUAACAGUCAUUGAAUGAAAUGGGCAUUGGGAUGUGGGAGAAUGAUAUAUUGCCAUGAAUUUGAAGAAAUGGUAAGUGAAGGAGAGAUGAUCUAACACCAAUCGCCUAUAAGAUUGAGUGUUGUGAAAACAUUACAAGUGCGUAGUUAAAGGCUAGGCAAUGAAGUAUGUUUCAAAAUGUGCGGAUUGAUAAUUCAAUAAGGAAUUAUAAUGUUGUAGUUCUGGGGAAAAGUAAACUGAUUUAGUUUUCUUAUUUAGAUUGACGUGAUAGGUUGUAUUCAUAUUCCUUUAUAUAUUUCUUUCAUAUUCCUUUCCGAUUAGGUUUACUUAAUACACUAGCCCACGGAAAAGAUAUGAUACCCCGCGGAAUAAAAAUAAUACGUAAAGAAACAAAGGAAUAAUAAACUAUUUCGGAUAAGCCGCUAUUCAGAAAGAGGAGAUAGGAUUUUUGGUUAUUAUUUUAACCUUAAAA